UCGUGCUAGACGGGGAGUUAGCGGUGCCCUGUAACCCGAAAUCCGCUUACGCGGGGUUGAAAAUCUUCAUGCGAUGCUCGAUUUGCGGCGGCCCCUCUGUCGAACCCGGAGACUGUGUGGACCUCACGUAACAGGCACUUGCAAACCCCGUCAGGUCCGGAAGGAAGCAGCGGUAAGUGAGAAAGUCUGUGUCGUGAUGGUAUCUACAUCAUCUCUCCGGACGGCAAGGACGUCCAUUUUGUCAUUCAAAUAAAGAUGCACGG
rnacentral:SRP_RNA from 1 species